UACGUAGGGGGCAAGCGUUGUCCGGAAUCAUUGGGCGUAAAGCGCGUGUAGGCGGCCUGAAAAGUCUGCUGUGAAAACUCGAGGCUCAACUUCGAGCUGUCGGUGGAAACUUUCUGGCUAGAGUCCGGAAGAGGAGAAUGGAAUUCCUGGUGUAGCGGUGAAAUGCGCAGAUAUCAGGAAGAACACCCGUGGCGAAGGCGGUUCUCUGGGACGGUACUGACGCUGAGACGCGAAAGCGUGGGGAGCGAACAGG
rnacentral:rRNA from 1 species